rnacentral:sRNA from 14 species
UUUAAUUAAAAAUGCAUUUACUUUCUUUUAAAAAAUCCGCAAUUACUUUUUGGGCAACCCAAUAAAAAUAACGGCGAGUAAAUUUAUAGUUGAAUCGGGCAACUUUUUCAAUAUGAAAUUUGAGAUCCCAUCCAACCCACUGGAUUUUUUAUUAUUGAUGCGUUGAAUAAUACCUUUAACUUUUUCAGGGUUGACAAAGUGGUAAUUAUCUUGAUUAUGAACAGCACCAAAAUCAUCAUCAAAUGUAUAAAUGUGACGAGGAAUAGCAUUUGUGUAAUUCAAAAUUCUGGAUUGCAAAUCUUCAACUGGAUGUGUGAGUAGUCUUUGGCGUAACGUUACAGAAUAAAACUCCUGGAAGUCGUGCGCAAUUUCGGUGGCGCAUUGUUCCGUACAAUUUGAUGGCAGAAUGGAGCUUUUGUUUUACCCGUUAUUUGGUAAAUUUUCUUAAAAGCAGUUAGGCCCGGUUUAAUCUCCUGUAGUCUUUCGUCGAAAUAGCUAGCUUGUUCCAUACUGACCGUCUCCUUAAUAAUAGUCUUUAUCAGUUGAAUUUGUUUGGAUAUAACAACAAAUUCACUGCUUAUCCGGUUCCCCGUUCGAUAAAAAAUCUUUUUGCCAUGUGUGUUUAAUUUUAGAAAAUUUCUUUGCCUUUUCAGAAAGAGGAAAUUUAUUUCCUUGGAUAAGGUUUUGUUUGGUGUGGGCGUUGUUUAUGGAAAUGAAAGAGAAUUUGAAAUCGUCUAUUAAGGAAUCGAUCUCAUGAUCUUCAAGAUGAAGAAAGGGGCAUAAUGCGACGAGAUGCAGCGUCCAUAUCUUGUACAGAACUAGACUAAUUUGUAUCUUUAAAGGAGGUAUAUGUUCGGGCUGGUCGCAUAAGAAGUUCCGGUUGAUCCACACGAAGAGUCAAUUUAAUAAGAAAAUGAUCAGAGAAAGACGAUAAUGUUGAGAUUUGAAAAUUUGGCACGGUUCCGUCCAAUAGAUGUGGGCUUAAUACCAAGUGAUCUAAAAAUGAUGAACCAUUUGAAUAUGAAGGCGACUCACAUCGAGGCUACUAUCCUCAAGCCAUUUCCGUAAAGUCUUUUCAUUCAAAUUCUCAAGUUGAUCACCCCAAAAAGGACUUUUAGAAUUCAAAUCCCCACUAAUUAUAAAUCUGUCGAAAGUACCACAGAGCUGUAAGAGUUUGGACAAAUCCGCCUCAAAUCUCUGAGGAGCACAAUUGCAUGGAAUAUAUAUCGAUCCAAUUAAAUAUUUUUUUUCGUGUAUCAUUAUUCAAGAAUUCUAUUUGCAGGAACGCCGUAUUAAAGCCAACGACAUUUAGAAAAACCCGAUUAAAUUGAAUCCCUUAUAACAACGACAACGCCGACCGCUGAAUUAUCGUUGACAAAAUUGUAUCCAUCUAAUUUAACCCUUCUUUUUCCUUUCAGAUGGCAUUCCUGAAUGAAACCAAUGUCGAUUCGAUGCGGAGAUUAUCCUUAAGGUCUAUUUGUCGACUGGUAUCGACAAGAGAUCUUACAUUGCGCAAAACUUCAGCUUUGGCCUCGGGUUUUGGCAUGUCUGAAUAUUUGGAAAGAAAAAUGUUGACCUCUUUCUCCAAGGUCAUUUCUUCCGGAUCCAGGAAAAGUGAUGCCAAUUUUAAAAAUUGAUCAAUCAGUGGUGGAUUUUGUUGUGGCGCUUUCUGUUGCGUAAGACGAGCUCUAUUUACAUUGGCUUUGGCAAGCUCCCUGUCCUCAACGGCCUUAGAUAUCCUUGGCUUGCUGGCAGCAACGUCAUCCCCGCCACUUUAUUGGAUGGCCCGUCUCACCACAGUUGUUGCAGAAGUUAUCACUUGAGUCAUCCUUUUGUUAGCAGCCAGACCUCUCAGAAUGAAAGAUGGUUGUUUUAAUUCCUUGGGUGAAAACGAGUAGGAGUGGAUGCCUUUUUCUCGCAGAAGUGCUAUCAUUAAAGAAUG